rnacentral:rRNA from 1 species
CUGAUACCGCCCAAGAGUUCAUAUCGACGGCGGUGUUUGGCACCUCGAUGUCGGCUCAUCACAUCCUGGGGCUGAAGUAGGUCCCAAGGGUAUGGCUGUUCGCCAUUUAAAGUGGUACGCGAGCUGGGUUUAGAACGUCGUGAGACAGUUCGGUCCCUAUCUGCCGUGGGCGCUGGAGAAUUGAGGGGGGCUGCUCCUAGUACGAGAGGACCGGAGUGGACGCAUCACUGGUGUUCGGGUUGUCAUGCCAAUGGCACUGCCCGGUAGCUAAAUGCGGAAGAGAUAAGUGCUGAAAGCAUCUAAGCACGAAACUUGCCCCGAGAUGAGUUCUCCCUGAGACUU